rnacentral:tRNA from 1 species
GGAGAGGUGGCCGAGCGGUUGAAGGCGCACGAUUGGAAAUCGUGUAUACGCUAAUCACGUAUCGAGGGUUCGAAUCCCUCUCUCUCCG